rnacentral:tRNA from 1 species
GCCGCUGUGGCGGAACUGGUAGACGCGCACGACUCAAAAUCGUGUGGGAGCAAUUCCAUGUCGGUUCGACUCCGACCAGCGGCA